rnacentral:rRNA from 1 species
AACGAACGCUGGCGGCAGGCUUAACACAUGCAAGUCGAACGCCCCGCAAGGGGAGUGGCAGACGGGUGAGUAACGCGUGGGAACAUACCCUUUCCUGCGGAAUAGCUCCGGGAAACUGGAAUUAAUACCGCAUACGCCCUACGGGGGAAAGAUUUAUCGGGGAAGGAUUGGCCCGCGUUGGAUUAGCUAGUCGGUGGGGUAAAGGCCUACCAAGGCGACGAUCCAUAGCUGGUCUGAGAGGAUGAUCAGCCACAUUGGGACUGAGACACGGCCCAAACUCCGACGGGAGGCAGCAGUGGGGUAUAUUGGACAGGGGGCGCAAGCCUGAUCCAGCCAUGCCGCGUGAGUGAUGAAGGCCUUAGGGUUGUAAAGCUCUUUCACCGAUGAAGAUAAUGACGGUAGUCGGAGAAGAAGCCCCGGCUAACUUCGUGCCAGCCGCCGCUGUAAAAC